GUAAGUUCUAUCAACUUUAAGGAAGAAAUUAUUACAGGUUUAAAAACUUUAAAAAAUGGGUGCAGUCCUAAAAUCACUUUGUAAUGCUAGCAUAAUCUUGAUAAGAAAUGCUAACAAAUGCAAUAACAGAAGGAAAAGCUACCAGCCAUUUUCAUUCAUGAAUAUAGAUGCAAAAGUUUUAAAUAAAAUAUAAGAAAGCAUUAUGACCAGGUUAUAUCUUCCCGGGAAUAUAAGAUACAAUAUCAUCAAAUUUAACAUUGAUUCAUAAUAAAAAUUUGUUAAAAAAUGAUGCAGAAAGAAAAGAAAUCCUUAUAACAUUCUUAGAAUAAACAGUUGAAAGUGUUUCCUCUAUGAUCAGUAAGAGGGCAAAUGUACUCUCUUUUCAACAUUAUGCUUUUUAACAUAACUUGCUGGUGUAGCAAAGCAAGAAAGAAAAUAAAGGAUUGGAUAAGUGCCCAUCAACUAACGAGUGGGUAAAGAAAAUGUGGUAUAUAUACACCAUGGAAUACUAUUCAGCAAUAAAAAGAAAUGAAAUGUCUUUUGCAGCAACUUGGGUAGAGUUGGAGGCUAUUAUUCUAAGUGAAGUAACUCAGUAACAAAGAUCGCAUGUUCUCACUUAUAAAUGGGAGCUAAGUUAAGAGAACACAAAGACAUAAGAAUGAUGCAAUGGACUUUGAGGCCUUGGAGGGGAAGGUUGGGAAAGGGGUGAAGGAUUAAAAAAACUACAUAUUGGGUAACUGGAGAAGUAUCCUAUGAACAUAUAUAUUGGAAACUGAAAAUGUAAUUAUUCAAAUUAUAAUUCUUUCAAAAUUUAUAUAUAGAUUCAAUGGAAUCUCAAUGAAAAUCUCAACAGAUUGGUUAAUGGAACUAGAUAAGCUGAUUCUAAAAUUUUAUUUUUAAAUAUAAAAGGCUAAAAAUAGCCAAGAUUUUCUUAAAGAUGCAUAACAAAGUCGGGAUUCAUUCUAUAUGAUAUCCAAUGAGUAUGGCAUCCAAUGAGUAUAGACAAACAGGGCAGGACAGAGGGAGUGAAUGAACAGACACACAUAUAUUUGGACACUUGAAUGUGGAUAAAAGAGGCAAUGUAGGAAGGAAGGGAAAAGAUAGUCUUUUCAAUAGAAGGAACUGGAUCAAAGAGAUAUUCAAUGGAAAAAAAGAACGAAAUUUUACCUCUUCCUCACAACAUAAGUAAGUUAAUUAUUACAGACGAAUUAUAGACCUAAAUGUGAAAGGCAAGACAACAUCGUUUCCAGAUGAUAAUAUAGGAGAUGUCCUCAUGACUUUGCAUUAGUGGAAAUGUUAUAAACCUACACCCAGAUGCCUGUGCUGAUACUGACAUGACUUUAAUAGUGUGGGAAUUUGCCCAGUCUGCACUCAAUGCCUGUCUCAUCCAACCAUCUUUAAUAAGUCAUCACCAUGUGGCUACCCUUUAAGGAGCAACUAGAACCACUAAGACCAAAAGAGAAUCCUGACGUCUGGUGAGGUGAAGGAGGAGGGCCCUAGUACCUUUAUUUGUGGGUAGAACUGGGCUUCUGUGGCCUGAAAAUCUAAGGACCAAACACCAACUUUACAAUAAAGAACCUGAACUCUGAUAGAAGGGAGACAAUGGUUACUUCUUUUCAUGGAUUCUAAAUUCUAUCUGCCAGUCACUUUUUGUGUGUGCAUUCAUUGAGGGUGUACAGAAUGGAAUUACAGAGGCAGAAAAAAAUGAGGUCUCUGCCAAAUUGAUAGUUUAAAAAACAUUUUAGUGGCCUACUUAACUGUAAUUUGUUUUAGUUUUAAACAAGAAAAACCUCAGCAUGUAAGCAAAGCAGACUGGACUUGAACAGAUAUGGAAUGCAAAGCACACAGGAGAGUCAUGGGGAUCCUGAAGGGGGAUUAGAAGUUGGACAACUUUUUAUGCAAUGAACAACACUGCAUUGCUUUGCCUGUUCUAGGAGGCAGUGGAUUAAACAGUAGUGCAUAUCACUUGGCUGAAGUGACAGGAAUAAAGAACAGAAUGCAUCCACUCCUCCAGUCUCAUUAAGCUGCCUCUUUCUCCUGAAAUUGGAUUGGGAUUCCAGGACACCUCUCAACCUACAGGAAACACUGGAUCUAAAGCUGAAACAGGCUUUUAAAAAGAUUUGCACAAUACAUCCUUCAUAUUGUUAUUUUUAUCUCUGUAAGUUUGUAAUGGCCUCUAAAAAAGAAAGCUGUGUAACAAGAGCAUCAGAUGUUACUUUGCUCACUGUUGAAGGCGGUGAAGAACAGAAGAAAACUAGGAAGAAAACCAAGCUGGGAAGGGCAAUGAAGGAACAGGUUAGAGUUCAAAAGUAAAAGUACGUUCCACACAAAGGAAAGAUUUCAGAGAGAAGGCUUUGCUCUGUUGCCCAGGCUGGAAUGCAGUGGUGUGAUCAUGGCUCACGCAGCCUUGAAAUUCUGGGCUCAAAUGAUCUUCUUGCCUCAGCCUCUUGAGUAGCUGGAAUUACAGGUUGCUGGGGCAGCUCUGAUCCACAUACGACUUAGGGACCCAGGAUGCAGCUGCUUCAACAUCUUGUAGCCGUACUAUCUGGAAUACAUGGGCUGCCAGUUGUCAUGACUACUCUCCUAUGUUCAGCCCAAAAGCUAAGCACUUUAUUUCUUCAUAUAGCCCAUUGGCCAGAAUUAUUCAUAUGUCUCACUACAGGAUGGGCCGGGAGUGUACCUUCAUUAUGUAGGAAAAAAUAAAACAUAAUCGUGAGAAUUAUCCAAAUGUGACAUAGAGGCUCGAAAUGAGCACAUGGUGUUGGAAAAAUGGCACCCAUAGACUUGGUAGAUGCAGGAUUGCCACAAACCUACAACUGGUAAAAAACAAUAUCUACAAAAUACAACAAAGCAAAGUGCAAUAAAAUGAGAUACACUUGUACAAGACCAACAAGUGAAACCACAAAGAAGGGUACACAACCAACACAUAGCCUUCCUUUGUCCAAGCGAAAGACACACAUUCUAAGAAGACAGCACAUCAGCCUGGACAACAUAGUGAGAACCUAGCUCUACAAAAAAUAAAAUAUAUUAGAUGGGUGUGAUGGCACCUGCCUCUGGUUCUAGUUACUUGGAAGGCUGAAGCGGGAGGAUUGCUUGAGCCUAGGAGUUUGAGGCUGCAGUGAGCCAUGACUGUGCUACUGCACUCCAGUCUGGACAACAGAGUGAGAACCAGUCUCAAAAAAAAGGAAAAGAAAAAGAAAAAGAUAUCACUGUUGUUGUAUUGUUGUGUAUCCCUAAAGCAGAGUGAUCAUGAAGGUACAGUUUUUAUAGGAGAAAUAAUUUUAAACAUUAAUGUUUUCUUUUUUACCUUUCUGAGUAUAAGACUUUUACUCUAAAUCUGUCCUCAGUAUCUAUUUGUCUGAGGGAAGCUUAGUAAUUAAAGCAGAAGGUAUGCAAAGAGAAAGAGGAGGUAAUAUUCAGCUCUUGACAUGAGCUUGGUUUGUGCAAUAAGAAUAUCUCGCAAACCAGAUUAUUUUCUUGAGAAAGAAUUUUUCCAAAUUUCUUCAUGCUCCAUUUAGCAUAUCAAGGCCAAGUCUGUCCUUAAGGCUAAUCUUCAGUCACAAAAAAAAAAAGAUAUGAUAUAGAGUUAAUAGAAAAACCUACAUAUCUUGUCCUUGAAAAUAGGAUGAGAGAGAAGGAAAGGAGACAGCGAAAGGAAGUGUUGCAACCAGACAUAAAUGUCUUGGCUUUGCCCUUUCUGGGUUUAGACUACAAGACAGAGGGAGAUGUGUUAUUACAUCAGUGAUGAUACUCCUCAAGGUAAAGAAGAGGCAUUGUUCCCACUACCCUGGGGCAUAGUCACAGAAACAAACAGGCUUAGAGAGAGGAGCUCCUGCAGUUUGGUAUGCCCAUGCUAUUCUUCCUUCUUAGGUGGUGCAGAUUUUGAAUUGAAGCCAAUGGGUCUGCUAGGGGAGAUGCUGGGGGUGAACUGCCACAUAAAAGGACUAGACAGAUGGCCCAGCUAGAGAAACUGAGUCACAAAAAUGGAACCUUGGCCGGGCAUAGUGGCUCACACCUGUAAUCCCAGCACUUUGGGAGGCUGAGGCAGGCAGAUCACUUGAGCCUGGGGGUUUGACACCAGCUUGGGCAAUAUGGAAAAACCUUGCCUCUACAAAAAAUACAAAAAAAAAAAAAAAAAAGCCAGGUGUGGUGCUGUGCAUCUAUAGUCCUGGCUUCUCGGGACGCUGAGGUGGGAGAAUCACAUGAGCCAAAGGAAUUCGAGGCUGCAUUGAACCACUGCACUCCAUCCUGGGUGACAGAGCGAGACCCUGUCUUAAAAAAAAAAUUUAAAAAAGGAUGAAUCCUAAGUUAAAUCAGCCUUAGAAGAUGGCAUCCAAAGGCAGCAGGGCAAGGAUGACACCAGUGGGCAAAGAAUAUCCCAGAGACCAGGAGACCAAUAUCUAGCCAACACACACCCGAGGAGUAGCAUGUGUCUCUCCCUACCCAACCUCCCAUUCCUUGCCCCUAAACACAUGAGGUUUUUUUUUUGUUUUUUUUUGAGAUGGAGUUUUGCUCUUGUUACCCAGGCUGGAGUGCAAUGGUGCGAUCUCGGCUCACCGCAACCUCUGCCUCCCGGGUUCAAGCAAUUCUCCUGUCUUGGCCUCCCAAGUAGCUGGGAUUACAGGCACAUGCCACCAUGCCUGGCUAAGUUUUGUAUUUUUAGUAGAGAUGGGGUUUACCAUGUUGGCCAGGCUGGUCUCAAACUCCUGACCUCAAGUGAUUCGCCCGCCUGGCCUCCCAAAGUGCUGGGAUUACAGGCGUGAGCCACUGCGCCCGGCCCACAUGACAUUUUAAAGAAAGGAGCAGGAGAAACAAUAGAUUAUUAAGGGCAUAAACGUUUUUCCCCUGCAGAAACUAAGCUUUGCCUCAAGGGACAAUUUAAAUUUUGGGGUUGAACUAAAUUUAAUCUAGAUCAAAUUAUUUGGUUAAUUUAUCUUCCUACUAACCAGCAAAUUUAUAAUGAUCUUCAGGAAAAGUGUGAACUGUAACUACAUAAGUAUAGGCAAAUUAAAAGAACUAGCUAUUUUCAGCAGUGGUGUUCAUUAAAUUUUGUGACCUUACCACAGAGUAUUUCUGCUGUCAGCCUCUCGAAAUAAACGUAUUUUGCAAGGUAUGCUGCUGAUGCCGUGAAGGUAUCAAAUAAGCAGAUUUGCCCCCAGUGUAGGUACUGGUAACUCACUGACAGAUUUGUUACAUUGUUCCUCAUACAUAGAUUCAGUACCAUCUCUCCAUUCAUUCACUCUAACUAUCUGGUGAAUUAUCCGGGAUACACCAGUAAACAGGUACAGUUUUGCCUUCAAGUAGUAAAUAGUAUAGGGACUCCUCCUACUCCGAACACACCUGUGUUCAGUGUCUCUGUGUGUUUGUGUGUGUGCGUGCACGUGCAUGUGUGCACAUAUGUGUAGGACUGGCUGCAUCAUUCUCAGGGCCUAACCAAAACAGCAUGUUACCGGUACCAAAACAGAGAUACAGAUCAAUGGAACAGAACAGAGCCCUCAGAAAUAAUGCCGCUUAUCUACAACCAUCUGAUUUUUGACAAACCUGACAAAAACAAGCAAUGGGGAAAGGAUUCCCUGUUUAAUAAAUGGUGCUGGGAAAACUGGCUAGCCAUAUGUAGAAAGCUGAAACUGGAUCACUUCCUUACACUUAUACAAAAAUUAAUUCAAGAUGGAUUGAAGACUUCAAUGUUAGACCUAAAACCAUAAAAAUCCUAGAAGAAAACCUAGGCAAUACCAUUCAGGACAUAGGCAUGGGCAAGGACUUCAUGUCUAAAACACCAAA
rnacentral:lncRNA from 10 species